rnacentral:rRNA from 1 species
GUGGGGAAUCUUGCGCAAUGCGCGAAAGCGUGACGCAGCAACGCCGCGUGCGGGAAGACGGCCUUCGGGUUGUAAACCGCUUUCAGUUGGGACGAAGCUCCGUCGGUGAAUAGCCGGCCGGAGUGACGGUACCUUCACAAGAAGCCCCGGCUAACUACGUGCCAGCAGCCGCGGUAAUACGUAGGGGGCAAGCGUUGUCCGGAAUCAUUGGGCGUAAAGCGCGUGUAGGCGGCUUCGUCAGUCCGUUGUGAAAGUCCAGGGCUCAACCCUGGAAUGCCGAUGGAUACUGCGGAGCUCGAGUCCGGAAGAGGCGAGUGGAAUUCCUGGUGUAGCGGUGAAAUGCGCAGAUAUCAGGAGGAACACCAAUGGCGAAGGCAGCUCGCUGGGACGGUACUGACGCUGAGACGCGAAAGCGUGGGGAGCAAACAGGAUUAGAAACCCCAGUAGUCC